UACGGGGGGGCAAGCGUUGUUCGGAAUUACUGGGCGUAAAGGGCUCGUAGGCGGCCAACUAAGUCGGACGUGAAAUCCCCAGGCUCAACCUGGGAACUGCGUCCGAUACUGGAUGGCUUGAAUCCGGGAGAGGGAUGCAGAAUUCCAGGUGUAGCGGUGAAAUGCGUAGAUAUCUGGAGGAAUACCGGUGGCGAAGGCGGCAUCCUGGACCGGCAUUGACGCUGAGGAGCGAAAGCGUGGGGAGCGAACAGG
rnacentral:rRNA from 1 species